rnacentral:rRNA from 1 species
GAUGAACGCUGGCGGCGUGCUAAACACAUGCAAGUCGAGCGAAGCGCUUAAGAAUGAUUCUUCGGAUGAAUUCUUUUGCGACUGAGCGGCGGACGGGUGAGUAACGCGUGGAUAACCUGCCUCAUACAGGGGGAUAACAGUUAGAAAUGACUGCUAAUACCGCAUAAGCGCACAGUGCCGCAUGGCACCGUGUGAAAAACUCCGGUGGUAUGGGAUGGAUCCGCGUUGGAUUAGGCAGUUGGCGGGGUAACGGCCCACCAAACCGACGAUCCAUAGCCGGCCUGAGAGGGUGGACGGCCACAUUGGGACUGAGACACGGCCCAAACUCCUACGGGAGGCAGCAGUGGGGAAUAUUGCACAAUGGGGGAAACCCUGAUGCAGCGACGCCGCGUGAGUGAAGAAGUAAUUCGUUAUGUAAAGCUCUAUCAGCAGGGAAGAAAAUGACGGUACCUGACUAAGAAGCCCCGGCUAACUACGUGCCAGCAGCCGCCGUAAAAC